CCCUUAGAUGUUCUGGGCCGCACGCGUGCUACACUGAGUGGAUCAGCGGGUCAGGUUGCGCGAAAGCGUUUCCUAAUCUUUAAAUCCGCUCGUGAUGGGGAUUGACGGUUGCAAUUUUCUGUCAUGAACGAGGAAUAACUUGUAAGCGCGGGUCAUCAUCCCGCGCUGAAUACGUCCCUGCCCUUUGUACACACCGCCCGUCGCUCCUACCGAUUGAGUGGUCCGGUGAGGCUUUGGGAUCUGAGCGGAAAGAGCGUUUCGCUGUUUCUGCUCGGAAAACUCAGUCGAACCUUAUCAUUUAGAGGAAGGAGAAGUCGUAACA
rnacentral:rRNA from 1 species